rnacentral:tRNA from 1 species
GCAGUGGUGAUUCAGCGGUAGAAUUUUUCUCUUCCAUGCGGAGGACCCAGGUUCGAUUCUUUGCCAUUGCU